UACGUAGGGUGCAAGCGUUAAUCGGAAUUACUGGGCGUAAAGCGUGCGCAGGCGGUGAUGUAAGACAGGUGUGAAAUCCCCGGGCUUAACCUGGGAACUGCAUUUGUGACUGCAUCGCUGGAGUGCGGCAGAGGGGGAUGGAAUUCCGCGUGUAGCAGUGAAAUGCGUAGAGAUGCGGAGGAACACCGAUGGCGAAGGCAGCCCCCCUGGGCUGACACUGACGCUCAGGCACGAAAGCGUGGGGAGCAAACAGG
rnacentral:rRNA from 1 species